rnacentral:rRNA from 1 species
UACAGAGGGUGCGAGCGUUAAUCGGAAUUACUGGGCGUAAAGCGUGCGUAGACGGCUAUCUAAGUCGGGUGUGAAAGCCCCGGGCUCAACCUGGGAAUUGCAUUCGAGACUGAAUAGCUAGGGUGCGGUAGAGGGGAGCGGAAUUUCCGGUGUAGCGGUGAAAUGCGUAGAUAUCGGAAGGAACAUCAGUGGCGAAAAGCGGCUUCCUGGA